rnacentral:rRNA from 1 species
CUGAAAAGGGCGAAAAGUUGCAUGGUGUAGACCCGAAACCGGGUGACCUAUCCAUGGCCAGGUUGAAGCGAGAGUAAAAUCUCGUGGAGGACCGAACCACGUUGGUGUUGAAAAACCAUGGGAUGAGCUGUGGAUAGCGGAGAAAUUCCAAUCGAACUCGGAGAUAGCUGGUUCUCCUCGAAAUAGCUUUAGGGCUAGCGUCGUGUAAUUGAGUAAUGGAGGUAGAGCACUGAAUGGGCUAGGGGCUAUAGUAGUUACCGAACCCUAUCAAACUCCGAAUGCCAUAUACUUGUAUCACGGCAGUCAGACUGCGAAUGAUAAGAUCCGUAGUCAAAAGGGAAACAGCCCAGACCAUCAGCUAAGGUCCCAAAGUGUAAGUUAAGUGGAAAAGGAUGUGGGAUUUCUAAGACAACUAGGAUGUUGGCUUAGAAGCAGCCACUCAUUUAAAGAGUGCGUAAUAGCUCACUAGUCAAGAGAUCCUGCGCCGAAGAUGUCCGGGGCUCAAACUUACCACCGAAGCUAUGGGUGUACACUAUGUGUACGCGGUAGAGGAGCUUUCUGUAUGGGUUGAAGUCGUACCGUAAGGAGCGGUGGACUGUACAGAAGUGAGAAUGCUGGCAUAAGUAGCGAGAAAUAAGUGAGAAUCUUAUUGGCCGAAAACCUAAGGUUUCCUGAGGAAGGUUCGUCCGCUCAGGGUUAGUCGGGACCUAAGCCGAGGCCGAAAGGCGUAGGUGAUGGACAAUCGGUUGAUAUUCCGAUACCACCUAUUUACGUUUGAGAAAUGGGGUGACGCAGUAGGAUAAGAUGUGCGCACUAUUGGAUGUGCGUCUAAGCACUUAGGCAUGCUUGAUAGGCAAAUCCGUCGAGCUAAGCUGAGGUGUGAUGGGGAGCCAUUUAUGGCGAAGUAUCUGAUUCCACACUGCCAAGAAAAGCCUCUAUCGAGUGAAUAGGUGCCCGUACCGCAAACCGACACAGGUAGGUGAGGAGAGAAUCCUAAGGCCAUCGGAAGAAUUGCUGUUAAGGAACUCGGCAAAUUGACCCCGUAACUUCGGGAGAAGGGGUGCCUACGAAAGUAGGCCGCAGAGAAUAGGCCCAAGCAACUGUUUAGCAAAAACACAGGUCUCUGCUAAAGCGAAAGCUGAUGUAUAGGGGCUGACGCCUGCCCGGUGCUGGAAGGUUAAGGGGAACACUUAGCGUAAGCGAAGGUGUGAACUUAAGCCCCAGUAAACGGCGGCCGUAACUAUAACGGUCCUAAGGUAGCGAAAUUCCUUGUCGGGUAAGUUCCGACCCGCACGAAUGGCGUAAUGAUUUGGGCACUGUCUCAACAGCAAAUCCGGCGAAAUUGUAGUGCAAGUGAAGAUGCUUGCUACCCGCGAUUGGACGGAAAGACCCCGUAGAGCUUUACUGUAGCUUAGCAUUGAAUCUCGGUAUUGUCUGUACAGGAUAGGUGGGAGACUUGGAAACUUGGGCGUCAGCCUGAGUGGAGUCAUCCUUGGGAUACCACCCUGACAGUACUGGGGUUCUAACCGGCGGCCAUGAAUCUGGUCACGGGACAUUGUUAGGUGGGCAGUUUGACUGGGGCGGUCGCCUCCUAAAAAGUAACGGAGGCGCCCAAAAGUUCCCUCAGCGCGGUCGGAAAUCGCGCGAAGAGUGCAAAGGCAGAAGGGAGCUUGACUGCGACACAUACAGGUGGAGCAGGGACGAAAGUCGGGCUUAGUGAUCCGGUGGUACCUCGUGGGAGGGCCAUCGCUCAACGGAUAAAAGCUACCUCGGGGAUAACAGGCUGAUCUCCCCCAAGAGUCCACAUCGACGGGGAGGUUUGGCACCUCGAUGUCGGCUCGUCGCAUCCUGGGGCUGAAGUAGGUCCCAAGGGUUGGGCUGUUCGCCCAUUAAAGCGGCACGCGAGCUGGGUUCAGAACGUCGUGAGACAGUUCGGUCCCUAUCCGUCGCGGGCGUAGGAAAUUUGAGAGGAGCUGUCCUUAGUACGAGAGGACCGGGAUGGACCAACCUCUGGUGCACCAGUUGUCACGCCAGUGGCACAGCUGGGUAGCUAUGUUGGGACUGGAUAAACGCUGAAAGCAUCUAAGCGUGAAGCCAACCUCAAGAUGAGAUUUCCCAUAGCGUAAGCUAGUAAGACUCCUGGAAGAACACCAGGUUGAUAGGUCAGAGAUGUAAGCAUGGCAACAUGUUAAGUUGACUGAUACUAAUAAGUCGAGGGCUUGACCAAA